GGGGGGGGGGCAAGCGUUGUUCGGAAUUACUGGGCGUAAAGGGCGCGUAGGCUGUCCCGCAAGUCCUCCGUGAAAUCCCACAGCUCAACUGUGGAAUUGCGAGGGAAACUGCAGGACUUGAGUUCGGGAGAGGAGAGUGGAAUUCCCAGUGUAGCGGUGAAAUGCGUAGAUAUUGGGAGGAACACCGGUGGCGAAGGCGGCUCUCUGGACCGACACUGACGCUGAGGCGCGAAAGCUAGGGGAGCAAACGGGAUUAGAUACCCCGGUAGUCCUAGCCCUAAACGAUGAGCACUUGGUGUGGCGGGUAUCGACCCCUGCCGUGCCGAAGCUAACGCAUUAAGUGCUCCGCCUGGGGAGUACGGUCGCAAGGCUG
rnacentral:rRNA from 1 species